CAGGUUCAGGAUCCCUGGGAUAGGCUAAUAUGGAUGAACUUUUCUUGUAUGUGUGUAGUUGGCAGUGGAAGGAGAAUGGAGUUGUUUUAUAGCAUGCUGCAGAGAUGAGAAAACAAUCGUAUUUUUAGACUUUCUAUGGCCAAAUAAUUUUUCCUGUCUUCUUGGGAGAGAUCCUCAUUAACAGGCAUGUGUCUUUUGAUUAGGGAAGCUGCUUCCCAUGCCCCACAGAUGGAUGCCCCCAAACGGGUCACUAUGCAGAUAAGUUUAAGGACAAAGUUACUUCUACAAUUAAAAAACUCUAUCUGAACACAGGAGAGGCCAAAAAUUUUGCACGUUGGAGGGAUAAAGUAUCAGUGGCAAUAUCAGGAAAGAGUACAGAGAGCGGAUAUGUAAAUAUCACCUUGUCUUGAACUGGAGGAACCACAAAGCAACAUCAAAUUGUUGUGGGGACCCUCAAACCAAGAGUUACAUAUACCAACUUCACUGAUGUCGAAAUUAAUGUUGGGACAGUUAGUAAAGUUAAAACUCUUUGGAAGAACCAUGUUGCAAACCCAGCCCAACCUACACUGGGAGCAAAGGUCAUAGUGAAAGCGGGAGAAAAUGGAAAUGUGUAUGUAUAUUUAUUGUGAAAAUCUCAAAUCAUUUAAUAGAUACAAGGUCAGCAUGACAUCUGUGGG